rnacentral:rRNA from 1 species
GGCGAACGCUGGCGGCGCGCCUAACACAUGCAAGUCGAACGAGCGAGAGAGAGCUUGCUUUCUCGAGCGAGUGGCGAACGGGUGAGUAACGCGUGAGGAACCUGCCUCAAAGAGGGGGACAACAGUUGGAAACGACUGCUAAUACCGCAUAAGCCCACGGGUCGGCAUCGACCAGAGGGAAAAGGAGCAAUCCGCUUUGAGAUGGCCUCGCGUCCGAUUAGCUAGUUGGUGAGGUAAUGGCCCACCAAGGCGACGAUCGGUAGCCGGACUGAGAGGUUGAACGGCCACAUUGGGACUGGGACCGGGCCCAGACUCCUACGGGGGGCAGGAGGGGGGAAUAUUGCAAAAGGGGGGAAACCCUGAUGCAGCGACGCCGGGUGGAGGAAGAAGGUUUUCGGAUUGUAAACCCCUGUUGUGGGGAAAGAUAAUGACGGUACCAAAAAAGGAAGUGACGGCUAACUACGU